GGGGACAGAGGGAGGGAGAAGUGGAGGGCGGAGGCGGGCGGAGGCGGGGAGGGGAGCGUCGGAAGUGCGCCAAAAAAGGGUCAAAAAUUGGGCUGGAGACUGUGGAGGACACUGACCCCCUAAGGGACUUAAGGACUGCCAGAUGCUGCUUUUCUCUGCCACCUUCAGUGAAACUGUGUGGAAGUUUGCCCUGCAGAUCAUCUCCUGACCCAUCCUCAUCAAGCUGCGUCAGGAGGAGCUCACCCUGACCAACACCAGGCUACUACUUCAUCUGCAGGAACUGGGAGCAAAAGUAUAUGGCCCUGUGCAACCUCUAUGGCAGCAUUGCCAGGCCUUAAUCUUCUGCCGGGUAUAACUCAUUUGCAAGCAGUGAGCAGUCAGUGAUCCAUCUGACAUGAUCAACCCCAGUGUGACAUCAGUGCUCCUUCAAAGAUCACCAAAAUGAGGGAACAGAUGCAAGAGAGGGAUGGGAAACACACAGUCAGAAUUUAAAAAUCAAAGUGGUAACAGCAUCUAAUAGUUGGGACCACAUUUGCUUGGCUUCUGUGUUGGGCAUUGCUUGGAAACAAUGCUCUGUUCCCUCAGCCUUUGUGUUUUGUGUCUAACAAAGGCAUUUUGUGAUCCAAUUUCUUAUUCAUCCGCCAUCAUUUUUUGCCCCUUUUGUACUUGCUAUCCUGGCAAAUCCAGAGAUCCAGCAGAGGCCCAGGAUGCUAUAUGGAUAAAUGGCAAGUCCUAGAAAUCAGCUGCAGGAAGCCCAGUUGGCAGAGCAGUAGAAUUAAGAGAAAUUGUGCAGCAGUUCUCUGUCCUCUGUGCCUCUUCUGAUUGUCAUUUCUAGACAUUAGGUGAGAGUGGUCCACGUUCAAGAAAGGUCUCAUUAAUCUGGAUGAACUGGAACUGUAAUCUCGUCACAAGCCAUGGAUCUCUUUACCAGUGCAGCUGUUUGAAGGCUUUCUUUUUUAAAAAAAAUUCCAUUUGGAAUUGCAAAAUAAGCAAAGCCAUUUGGAUCAGCCGUAUUCAAAGAAGAUCCUAGGAUUUGUGCACCAUGACUGUGUCACCUCUGGCAAUGUGAGAAUGAGAACCACCUGAAAUGGAAACAGAGUUUCUGCUUCUGGAUCACAUCAUAGCUUAACAUGAAUGAACUCUAGAUCAACACA